rnacentral:lncRNA from 1 species
CUCAGACAACACAUGAUCUCUACCUGCCACUUGCCUAAUUCUGUUGACAGAAACUGCUUUCAAUAUGACUGUUGAAAUUUAAAGUGUAAGCUGCUAUAUGAAGGGAUCCACAAGACGAAUAAUUAAGGGGGACCUCUGAUCAACAGCCAGCAAGGAACUGAAUCCCUCAGACCCACAACUCACAAGAAACUGAAGCUGAAGCAGAUUCUUCCUCAGUCAAGCUUCAGGUGCCCAGCUGUAUUGGUAGAGGAGACCAACCACACCCUCCACAGCACAGCACCUGGAGAGGAACUGCUGCCAUGACCAUAGAGGACACCCUCUGGAUACAAUGCCAGACUUGAUGUGGGACUGACCAACCUAUGGACCCCAGGCACCACCACCCAGACCUGCUCAGCACCUGAAACAUUCACAGCCGUGGAGAGAGAACUGUUCACUGCUACCAUCCACACUUCUGGGCCCCUUCAGCAGCAGGGUGACAAGGAAGAGGGAAAUCGACUUGGAAAAGAGGGGACCUCUGACCCAAGAGUUCGGUCAAUGCAUAUGUUGGCAGCCAGCUGCACAUCGCACCAAAUAUGAACUUCAAAUAGAAGAAAGCCUCAUUUGGAAGAAAGCUCAUGCACAGACUGUAAAUAUUUCAGAGCAGAUUGUGUCUCUGUAGAUUAAGGCAUUAAGGCACAGACACAGAGGGAAGACCUUGUGGAGGCUUGGAGGAAGACAGCCAUCUACUAUCCAAAGACAGAGACAUCAGGAUGUAACCAACCCUACAACACCUUGAUCUGGGACUUCCACCCAGCCUGUGGUGCUGGUCAUGCCAGCCUGAGCAGACUGUCACAGCCGGCUUUUCCUGACUCCCCUUUACAGAGGGCUCCUACCCUUCCUGCCACUCCACA